GACGUAGGGUGCGAGCGUUGUCCGGAUUUAUUGGGCGUAAAGAGCUCGUAGGCGGUCUGUCGCGUCUGCUGUGAAAACUCGGGGCUUAACCCCGGGCCUGCAGUGGGUACGGGCAGACUAGAGUGCGGUAGGGGAGACUGGAAUUCCUGGUGUAGCGGUGAAAUGCGCAGAUAUCAGGAGGAACACCGGUGGCGAAGGCGGGUCUCUGGGCCGUAACUGACGCUGAGGAGCGAAAGCGUGGGGAGCGAACAGG
rnacentral:rRNA from 1 species